rnacentral:rRNA from 1 species
CCUACGGGAGGCAGCAGUGAGGAAUAUUGGUCAAUGGACGCAAGUCUGAACCAGCCAUGCCGCGUGCAGGAAGACGGCUCUAUGAGUUGUAAACUGCUUUUGUACGAGGGUAAACGCAGAUACGCGUAUCUGUCUGAAAGUAUCGUACGAAUAAGGCUCGGCUAACUCCGUGCCAGCAGCCGCGGUAAUACGGAGGAUUCAAGCGUUAUCCGGAUUUAUUGGGUUUAAAGGGUGCGUAGGCGGUCGGAUAAGUUAGAGGUGAAAUCCCGAGGCUCAACUUCGGAAUUGCCUCUGAUACGGUUCGGCUAGAGAGGAGUUGCGGUAGGCGGAAUGUAUGGUGUAGCGGUGAAAUGCUUAGAGAUCAUACAGAACACCGAUUGCGAAGGCAGCUUACCAAGCUACAUCUGACGUUGAGGCACGAAAGCGUGGGGAGCGAACAGGAUUAGAUACCCCUGUAGUC